GUCAUUCAGUGCACUCAGUGCAGAGCUGGCUGCUGGGAGCGGAGGGUGAGUCCGGGGUUCAUUGUGUUUAUUGGGAUAUUCCUGGAUCCAGAGCGAUAAUAAUAUCACUAAUCAGCCAAUUACAUUAACAUGGAGAGAGAGAGAGAGAGGGGGGGGGAGAGAGAGGAGGAAAGGGGGGAGAGAGAGGAGAGGGGAGAGAGAGGGGGGGAGAGAGAGAGGGGAGAGAGAGGGGAGAGAGUAGGGGAGAGAGAGAGGGAGAGAGAGGGGGGGACAUGGAGAGAGAGAGAGGGAGAGGAGGGGGGACAUGUAGAGGAGGGGGGGACAUGUAGAGAGGGACAUUGGAGAGGAGAGGGAGAGGAGGGGGGACAUGUAGAGGAGUGGGGGGACAUGGGAGAGGAGGGGAGAGGAGGGGGGGACAUGACGAGGGAGGAGGAGGGGAGAGGAGGGGGGGACAUGACGAGGAGGAGGAGAGGGGGGACAUGACGAGAUGAGGUAAAUGCCACUGAGGAGGAGGGGGGGACAAGGAAGGGAGGAGGAGGAGGGGGUAAGGAGGGAGGAGGGGGGGCAUGAGGAGGAGGGGUAUUACGAAGAAGAGGGGAGGAGGGGGGGGGGGACAUGAAGAAGAGGAGGAGGGGGGGGACAUGGGAAGAAGAGGAGGAGGGGGGGGAUACGGAAGAAGAGGAGGAGGAGGGGGGGGACAUGAAGGAGAGGAGGAGGAGGGGGGGACAGGAGGGAGAGGAGGGGGGGACGGGGAGGGGGGGAGAGGGGGUACACGGAGGGAGAGAUGGAGGGGAAACAUGGACACAGAGCCGAUGAAGAUUGGUGCUGUAAUCAGGUUAGCGACAAAGGGGUUAUUAACCGUUUAGUAACUGAUUGGGGGCGGUGAGGGACACUAUAGAUUUCAUUUAAGCAAAGCAUCUCAAUAAAUAUCUUAUUUUUUUAUUAUUAUUUUUUUUUUGAAAUCCGUUUCAAUUUAGUUUAAUCUGAAAUUAAGCAUAUUAAAUUUGAACGAAAGGAGUUAAACCAUGAGCGAAAUUCGGUUUGUCCUGAUAGUGUUUUUUUUUUUUUUUCCUAGUGUUCUAAUUUGUACAAACUAAAUUUAUGUCCAGAUAAUCAUUUCACUUGCCUUGACCGUUUAUAGAUUGUUUCUAACAGUGUAACUAAUGUAUUACUUAGGAACAAUUUCAGUUAAGAAAGUGGCUGUUUACUUCUCCGAGGACGAGUGGGACUGUUUACAUCAAGAAGAGCAGAAGCUUUACAGGGUUCUAACAAGAAUUACUAGACUCUCAGUUCUCUAGGUAAGUGGUAAGUGGUGUCCCUCAGGGUUCUGUUUUGGGACCACUUCUAUUUAACAUAUUUAUAAAUGAUCUUGAAAUAGGCAUUGAAAGCCAUGUAUCAGUGUUUGCAGAUGACACAAAACUUUGUAAAGUAAUAAAAUGUGAGCAGGAUAUUGCUUUGCUGCAGAGAGAUUUGGAUAGAUUGGGGGACUGGGCACUAAAAUGGCAGAUGAAAUUUAACAUUGAGAAAUGCAAAAUUAUGCACUUCGGGGUUAAGAAUGCACAAGCAAUUUACACACUAAAUGGUAGUGAAUUAGGGAUAACCACACACGAGAAGGAUUUGGGAAUUGUUAUAGACAACAAAUUAGGCAGCAAUAUGCAAUGUCAAUCUGCAGUUGCUACGGCCAGUAAGAUUUUGUCAUGUAUAAAUAGGGGCAUAAAUUCUUGGGAUGAAAAUAUAAUUUUGGCUCUUUGUAAAUCGCUGGUAAGACCACACCUUGAAUAUGCUGUGCAAUUUUGGGCGCCUGUUCUAAAGAAGGAUAUCAUGGUAUUGGAGAGGGUCCAGAGACGAGCUACAAAAUUGAUUAAAGGAAUGGAGCAUUUUAGUUAUGAAGAAAGGUUAAAAAAAUUAAAUCUGUUUAUAUAUAUUCAGGGCCAGUACAAACCUUUAUCUGGAAAUCUAUUCAUAAACAGGGCUAUACAUAGGACACGGGGUCACACAUUUAGAAAGAAAAGGUUUUUUUUACAGUAAGAACAAUAAGGACAUGGAAUUCUCUGCCUGAAGAGGUGGUUUUGUCAGAGUCCAUACAGAUGUUUAAACUGAAAUUGGAUAAAUACUUACAAAAACAUAACAUACAGGGAUAUAAUUUCUAAUUAGUGGGGUAAUAGCUGCUGUAUCCAAGGAGACAUCUAACUGCUAUUUUGGGAUCAACAGGGAAUUUUUUCCUAGUUUGUGGCAAAAUUGGAAGCGCUUCAGACCAGUUUUUUUGCCUUCUUUUAAAUCAACAGCAACAACAUUUGUGAGGAAGGCUGAACUUGAUGGACGCAAGUCUCUUUUCAGCUAUGUAAUUAUGUAUCAAUAUCCUUCUGAUGAUACAGUCUCCAGUACUGUGUACAAUACUCCAAGUGAGGUCUCACCAGUGUUCUGUGCAAUGGCAUGAGCACUUCCCUCUUUCUACUGCUAAUACCUUUCCCUAUACAACCAAGAAUUCUGCUAGCAUUUCCUGCAGCUCUAUUACAUUGUCUGCCUACCUUAAAGUCAUCAGAAAUAAUCACCCCUAAAUCCCUUUCCUCAUAUGUUGAGGUUAGGACUCUAUCAAAUAUUCUGUACUCUGCCCUUUGGUUUUUACAUUCCAGAAUGCAGUAUCUUGUAUUUAGCCACAUUAAAUGUCAGUUGCCACAGCUGUGACCAUUUUUCUAGUUUUUCUAAAUCAUUUGCCAUUUGGCUUAUCCCUUCAAAAACAUCAAUGCUCUUCUAUAUUAUUAUUAUGAUAUUUAUAGAGCGCCGUCAAAUUCCGCAGCGCUUUACAAUGGGUGGACGAACAGACAUGUAGUUAUAACCAGACAAGUUGGACACACAGGAACAGAGCCGAAGGUGCUGUCCUUCCUCCCCAGAGGCAGUGUGUGUUACAGGGAGCCGAAGGUGCCGCCCUUCCUCCCCAGCGGCAGUGUGUGUCCUUAGGAGAGGUGGCCGUGAGUCCCAGGUAGCUGAAGAUGUCGUCCUUCCUCCCCAGUGGCAGAGCGUGUUACAGGGAGCCAAAGGUGCCAUCCUUCCUCCCCAGCGGCAAUGUGUGUCCUUAGGAGAGGAGACCGUGGGUCCCUCUCCCCAGCACUUCAGUGAGUCCCAGGGAGCUGAAGAGGUCGUCCUUCUUCCCCAGCGGCAGAGCGUGUUUCAGGGAGCCGAAGGUGCCGUUUUAUGUGUUUUAUUGUCUUUUGCUGCCAUGUGUUCAAUGGAGUUUUGCCUCUGUCUUUGGAGAUAAUUGGAUUACUUCCCACUUAUCUCCAGGAUAGAAGACUCUGUGGAACUGGUUUUGGGCAGAAAAGCCAUGCUUCAUUUGGUCACAAAGGUCUUCGAUCAAUCUAUCUUUUGAACCAAUAGAUCAAUUUGGAUGAUUUUGACAUAUGUUUGUAUUUGGAGUAUGCUGAUUCUGAAAAUGUAAGGGGAAUAUUGCCUAAACGGUUUUUAACCUCUUGUGGGCAAAAUGGUCCGUUACAGUUGUGUUGUGUCGUGUCAAAACCGACGUUCUGGUAAGCCUGUAUAAAUAAAGAGGGCUCACCAAAUAGAUGUUUUGUUAAAAGGUGAGGUGCAAUUGAGCGAAGACAGCUUUGAAGUGAGUCCCGGUUGGGUAUUUAAGCCGGGUAACCCCUCCCACAAAUACAGACUAUUAGCCUUAACACUUGUAGUCAGGGACAAAAGCAGAGAAUUAAAUAAGUCGGUGAUGUCGUGCCAAAACCGACGUUUGGGUUAGCCUGUAUGAAUAAAGAGGGCAAAAGGUUUCACACUUUAUUGCAUUUUUACAACAUAUUAUGAUGCCAAACAUUUAAAUGCUUGCCUUAAUUAAUUCUAAUUCUGGUUGUGGGAUAUACAUAACAUAUACUUAGGAUUUCCAUCUUCUAAGUUUUUUUUGAUUAUGUGGACAGGUACGUUCUUGCUUGAUGUGGCUGAAGCCGCUCCUAUCCUAAACGAAUGACCUGAAAAUGUUGUAGGGUCCAAACCUAAUUUCAGGCAUAGGGUCCUAACAUACAACAUGAAUUUGGUUGCAGAUAGGGGUUGCUCGUGUAAGGGUAGUAAUGGUGUAUUGCAUGAAUAAGCUGUAAAUUCUGCCUAUAUUCAUUUAGGACUGAUACAUGGCACCAUUUGUUUCCUGCUUGGUAAAAUGGAAUUUCUAUUGCUUCUGUGUUUGAUAAUCUUGAAUGAUCUCCUGUUCUAAUGAGAUCUCUGAAUUUCAAACAUUAUGGUGCCUCCACUGAGGAACCUAUGGUAAAUUCGCAGGGGAGUAAGAAACCAUAAAAGGCAAUGCAGAUGGCUUCUUUAAUAAUGGAAUUUGUUUGUGAGUCAAAUGGUUUGCCGUCUAGCAUGUUGGAUAAUGCUCUGAACCUGGGGCCGUCCAUAGGUUGUCGUUUAGGUGUGUACACCCGGCCUACCCGCUGAAUGCCGUUUAGUAUAUUUUUUAUGGGAUAAGUGGACAUGAAUGCUUUGUAGUCUGGGUAAAGAGCUAGAUAUUUGUGCUGUAUACCUGCUAGGUAUAGUUUUAUGGUAUUGUAUGAUAGUUUAAGGGAAAAGGUGGCAAAAUGUUGCGAUCACCACCAUCAUAUGAACGGAGUAUGAAUUCGGAAUCAGAUAAGCACCGGUGAAUCUAGUGAACAGUGUCCUAUCUCUGUCGUAAAUUUUCUGCGUGCUAUGAAACAGUGCUGCCUGAGCUCCACUAUGUGAACUAGUCCAGAUUUAGGUCUUAGAAUGCUGGAGUGUUGCAUGGAAGCGGCAUGGCUGUUGGGUGAAGGUUGAAGAAAGCCUGUAAUUGAGAGCGGGAUAAAGCGUCAGCGGCUAAGUUAUGACAACCCGGAAUAUGCUCGCACACCAGGAAGAAUGGUUUUGUGGCCGCCCACCAUGUCAACCGUCUAAUCAGCUUCAUGAUAAUGAGUGAUGAGGAGUGCUUUUGUUGAUCUCACAAGCCUUCAUAUUAUCAGAGAAACAUUUGACAGGCUGCCUUUUCCCUAAUACUCCCUGUAGCGGAUGGCCCUGGGCUGUCCUGAGAAUUUCAUGUAUUGUAAUGCAUUCGUGUAAAAACAGCAAAGUUCUAUGUAUUUAAAGUAUUGUAUUUGUCUGACUGUUAGGUAGUUUCAUCCCCUUAGUUUGUUCGAAUGUGAAGUGUGUCCUCAAUUACCCAUUGCAACAUUGUUGCGAACGGGUAAUUGACAAGUUAAGUAGCCGUCCUUUGUUCUCGGGGGUGGCCGUCAUUCGAAAAACGAACACGUGGCGGGCGGCCAUUUUAAAACUCCUGAACAGCGGUGUUUUGUCGUCGAGUGUCUGGAACUCAAAUCGGACACUCGACUAGGCGAACACCGCUGAAACUUCCACAAGCCCGGUCCGUUCGGUUCCUAACUACCGAAUGGCCCCUCGUUCGGUAGAUAGAAACAACCGAACGAGGGGAUUCAGGCAAACCCUCCCUAGCCUCUGUAGCUAGAGGUUUUUGUGCCAUUUUUUCCCUGACUCCAGGACCUACCGCAGGGCCCAUUCACAUGGAACCGCAUUUGGCUGUUUCACCCAGUGCGGUCAGUCAUUUUAUUCCCUCCAUAAAUUUCCCGAACCCCUAGUCUGAUUUUUGGAUAUGUUGUUCACCCAGAUCAGGGCUACCAGUGGAUGUAUGAUUUAAAGUGGUACCCCUAAGUUUAGGGGUACAUCCAGAAACAGGGGUAAUUGGUGUCCUGGAUAAGGGGAUUAUGAUGCAGGCUGAGGGGAGGAGAGGUGUGGGAGGUUACCAGAACAGGAUUGGCUACUGUACUAAUGAAUGAAAUUCCCUCCCUUGCAUGGGAGUAUGCUUUAAAAGGCCACUGUCUGAAUAAAGCUUUAGUUAUGGUCCUGAAACUGUGUGUCGUCCAGUUAUUGGGAAUUGCUGUUGGGAUACUGCUGUUAUUUUGCCUGCUGGAUACUUUACCCUAUGGAUUUAUAAUUGCUUGUUCUUGAGCCUCCCUGGGAUCUAAAGUGGAGAUAGGCUGUGUAAUACCAGCUCUUCGCUACACUCCCCACGUAAAUGGAUUUAUGCAUGUACCCAGGUAUUUAGGGUACAUCCAAAACUUGGGGAAAAAUGUGUCUUUGUUAAUUGGGUUACAAGCUUAUCUGAGGGGAGGAGAUGCGUGGGAUGUACCUUAUGUUUUAGUGGUUAUGUAAAAAUGUAGAUGAAUGGAUGUUAAUGUAGAAUCUUUCUUAAUUUCUUCUUGUCUUCAGUUGAUUGAUAUAUAUACGUCUUUUGUAUAUAUAUUCUUGGGCCAAAUGCUCGCCACAAUAAUAUAUGUCUAUAUUAUUGAAAAGUAGUAAUACGCAAUCUGACUUACGGUUUCUUCUGGUUUAUUCUUUGUUACGGAUACAUAAUAAAACAUAAUAAAGGAUGUUACAGGAUUAUGGACAUUCAACAGCAGAUGGUAAUUGCUGGACUUCUGAUGGGAGAGUUACAUCAUUAUACAGAGCCAAGACAAGACUGAGAGCGACUUCGUGUCCCUCUGUUACUAUAUAGAUGUGCUAAUACUAACGUCAGCGUUUAACUCUAGCCAUAUAAGGACAAACCCCCAAAUCCACAUUCCAGAGCUCUCAGACAAAGAAAGCCUUGUGACUUAUUGAUACCAUCUGUUACUUAUGUUAAUCCACACAUCCAUAUAUAUAAUCAAUAGAAACAUAGAAUAUGCAAUAUUCUACAGGUUUUGUGGGUGUCUCCCUUGCAUGGGCCGAAUCACAUAAAAGGAGAGUACCUGCCAUUAAAAUUCAGUUCUUCUUGACCCUUCAAAAUGUAGCCUUGUCUCGUUAUUGAAAGGGGAUAUGCAGCUUAUUAUAUAUAUGAUAAAGCAACACGUACUGCACAGGGGGUAGGGAUGGUCAGUUCUGCCCCCCAGCGACAGGGCUGUUUAGCCAAAGGGGAGACAGUCGGUCUCCAGCAGCCGGGCUGUGUGUCUAAAGGGGAGACAGUCGGUCUCCAGCAGCCGGGCUGUGUGUCUAAAGGGGAGACAGUCGGUCUUCAGCAGCAGGACUCUGUAUUGGGAGCAGAGACAGUCGGUCUCCCUCCCCCGCGGCUGGAAGUAUAUGUGGGACAGGAGCUUGUUACCCCCUCUCCCCAGCAGCAGCUUAAGGUACCCAGGGAAGACAGUAUGCCCCACAACUGUGCAGAUGGGACCGUGGUCUCUGCACGUCCAGCACAGGCGGUAGGGACGGUCGGUUCUGCGCCCCAGCAACAGGGCUAUUUAGCCCAAUGGGGAGACAGUCGGUCUCCAGCAGCAGAGCUGUGUGUCCAAAGGGGAGACAGUCGGUCUCCAGCAGCAGGGCUGUAUAUCUAAAGGGGAGACAGUCGGUCUCCCCCCUCCAACAACCAGGCUUCAACCAGGCUACCCUCCCAGUACCGCUGGUCUCUGCCCACGCAGCAAUCCACCAAGUCAGCAUACCCGUACCCAGCACAGCCGUGGUGAGGCACCUGGACAUGGACAAGCUUCUCCCCUACCCAGGUGUAGUAACCAUUUAUUGUGGGUGGGCUGUGCUGUUGAUUGUGUUUUGUGGGUGGGCUGCUGGACUAACCAGGGCACUGACCGGCAGGAGGUCAGAUACCCUGUUAGUCUGUUUGGAAAAGGGGAGAGAUGUGACGAGACCAAUCUCGCCACAUUGCAUUGGAGAAGCCCGGUUGCUCGCCUGUUGCCUUGGGAUUAUGGCCCCAUGUUAAAAGGCUUGAUUUUCCCCUGCAAAGACAAGACAGCCGGGUCAUUUGGUGCUUGCCCUGUUUGAGCAGUGAUACCCCAGAUAGCUAUGCCAUGGAGCCCAUUUGUAUAAUGAAAGACUAUGGGAAAGACUUUGGCUCCAUGGCAAUUGAACUGUAUGUGUGUGCUCUGAGCGCCAUUCAGUAAUAAUGUGCGCUUAGACCUAAGCUAUCUGGGAAUAUGUUGCAUGUCUGUAUUUUAUGUCAUAAAUGUAACAUUGUGUAUUUUAUUGUUAUUUUACUGUCGUUUUGCCUCUGUCUUUGGAGAUAAUUGGAUUACUUCGAAUUAUCUCCAGGAUAGAGGACUAUGUGGAACUGGUUUUGGGCAGAAAAGCCAUGCUUCCUGUGGUCACAAAGGACUACGAUCUAUCUUUUGAACCACUGGACUAAUUUGUAUGAUUUUGACGUAUGUUUGUUUGUAUUUGGAGUAUGCAAUGAUUCUGAAAAUUUAAGUUUUAUGUGAAUGUGAUGCAUACUUUUCAAGUUAUGAAUAAUGUGGAAAAAUUGUAUUUCUCUGCUUGUGCUAAAUUACAUUACCCAUUGUGUAAGGUAAUUGAAUCACAUGCAGAGGGGAAGAAUUUGUGUGGGAGUGUCUGAGUGUAUUGUAUGUGUUUAUUGGUUGUGUUCCAAAACCCUGUGGGUGGUACAAAUAUGUAAGAAUGUGUACAUAAGCACAAUAAUCCCACAGCUCUGACUGUUCACUGCUUAACCCUCAACACGGAGCUUUGUCUCGUUCUUGGGGGGGAUUUACUGUAUGCUGUUAGAGACUGAUUGCCAGGAGUGUAAGCCGCUUGGGUGCUUUUCCUGUUCAGCUGCUAGCAGCUAUUCGUGAGGUUCCAGUUCGGGAAUUUGGAGUGCUACUUGGUAUCCUGUUCGGGAGUUUGGUGUUCUGCAGAAGCUGUGCCUGCAUCUCUGGAAAGGGGGACGAUUGCCUAAACGGUUUUUACCCCUUGUGUGCAAAACGGUCCGUUACACCUCCUAAACACAGCACCUAUUCUCCUAAUAAUGUUCUCACUUCUUUUUUUCACUCUCUCUCUCACUUCCCUCACUAUCAACAUCUAUCAUUUUACUUACCUGUUUCUGUUGAUACCAUCUUCAUUGCUCCCUCUCUGCUCCCCUCAUCUCUGUAUUCAUCACACACACUUUAGUCAUAUUUAUCCAGCCUUUCUCCACACACCCCUGCUAAAUCCCCUAAAUACAAGCUCUCAUCCCCAACAUUUAAAUCUUACUCCCACCUUCUCUUCCUUUCCAUCCUACUACUCCUAGCAGCUGGUGAUAUCUCUCCAAACCCUAGUCCCUCCACUACUCAGCCACUUGGUACAAACACCAGAAACCACAACAACCUAAUACCCAUUCCAUGUAAUCUCACUAUAAUUCCUCUUUUAAAGCUGCACUCUGGAAUGCACGCUCUGUGUGCAGCACUUUUAAAUCUACUUCCAUCCAUGACCUAUUUAUCUCACACUCCCUAAACCUACUUGAUACUGCUACCCCUGCCUCACUGUCCUUUGGUGGUUUUCCCUUUACCCAUAAUCCAAGACAAGCAGAGAUUAAAGGUGGCGGUGUAGGUUUUCUCCUUUCACCCCACUGCUGCUUUAAAACCCUGUCCACCCCCCCCUCCCCCCCCCACCCUCUCUGCUGCCUGGCUACCUUACUUCCUCUCUUCUAACAUUCCAUCCCUAAUUCUUGGAGACUUCAAUAUUCCCAUUAACCCACCUUUGACCCCAGCAGCCUCUAAACUACUUUCAAUUACUUCCUCCCUCGGACUAUUGCAGUGGGCUAACUCUCCCACCCAUGUAGCUGGCAAUAUCCUCAACCUUAUUUUCUCUUAUUCAUGUACAGUAUCUAAUAUCUGCAACACUCCAUUUCCUCUCUCUGAUCACCACUUAUCAUUUGCUCUCAAUUACCCCCUCACCCAACAACCUCAGCCUAACCCCCCUCAACUCAGGAGGAACCUUACCUCUAUUGACCUCCAGCAGCUGUCAGCUGACAUUGAUUCACAACUGCUAUCCAUCCCAUCCCUCUCCUGUCAAUCACUGGCCAUCUCCACAUAUAACACUACCCUCACCUCUGCCUUGAACACUGCAGCCCCGCUCCAAACAUACACCUCGAGGAGGACACGACCCCAACCUUGGCAUACUAAAUCAACACGCUAUCUGCAGAGUUGCUCCCGUUGUGCUGAAAGCUCCUGGAGGAAGUCCCGCACCCAGGCAGACUUUCUCCAUUAUAAAUUCAUAUUGCAUUCAUACAGCACAGCCCUUGCCCUCGCCAAAGUCAUACUUUUCCUCUCUCGUUAGUUCAUGCUCCCACAAUCCCAGACGUCUCUUUGACACCUUUAACUCACUUCUGCGCCCCGCUGCGGCAACCCCUCAAACCUUACAGUUGAUAGCUUUGCAUGCUACUCUACCAACAAGAUUGAACAGCUAAGGAAACAAUUCUCCCCUCCUUGCCGUUCUUUCUCAACCAUACGUAAAUCAUGCCUUCCCUACCCUUCAGACUUUCUCCCUGACUACUGAAGAAGAGGUGGCUGCGCUCCUCCAUUCCUCUCGCCCCACCACUUGCCCGCUCGAUCCUGUCCCAUCCCACCUCAUCAGAUCUCUCUCCCCUUGUCUUGUGCCUGCACUAAAACACAUCUUUAACUGCUCUCUCUCUUCUUGCACUGUUCCUGCUGACCUUAAACAUGCCACUGUAGUACCUAUCCUGAAAAAAACAUCUCUUGACCCAUCCUUCCCCUAUAACUAUCGUCCAAUAUCCCUGCUCUCUUUCUCAUCAAAGCUUUUGGAAAGACUUGUCUUUACCCGUGUGUCUCGCUUCCUCAAUUCCAACUCUCUCCUUGACCCUCUUCAGUCUGGCUUCCACCCUCUCCACUCUACUGAGACUGCUCUCAAAGUCACUAAUGACCUAAUCGCAGCUAAAUCCAAAAGGUCACUACUCCAUAUUAAUUCUCCUUGACCUCUCUGCUGCCUUUGACACCGUUGAUCAUGCUCUCCUCCUUCAAACUCUUCAGUCGCUCGGUCUCUGUGACUCUGUCCUCUCUUGGUUUUCCUCCUCUCUCUCCCAACACUCAUUCAGUGUCUCCUUUUCCAAGCAUACCUCCUCCCCUCGUCCUGUCUCGGUUGGAGUUCCCCAAGGCUCUGUCCUUGAUCCCCUUCUAUUUUCUCUUUAUACUGCCUCUCUUGGCAAGCUUAUUGCCUCUUUUGGAUUCAACUACCACCUGUACGAUGAUGACACUCAUAUAUACCUCUCCUCCCCGGAUGUCCUCACGCUUUCUGAAACGCACUCUCUCUAAAACUGAACUCCUUGUCUUUCCUCCUCCUUAUACUGAUCCUCCUCUCUCGCUCUCCCUUCAAGUCAGUGAUAUCCACAUAAGUUCAUCCUUGCAAGUGCGCUGUCUUGGCAUCAUACUUGACUCUGGCCUCACCUUUGAGCCUCACAUCCAGUUUGUUGCCAAAUCCUGUAGGUUCCAACUCAAAAACAUAGCCCACAUCCGCCCCUUUCUUAUGCAAGAUGCGACCAAAGAGCUUGUCCAUGCUCUAGUAAUUUCCCGCAUGGAUUACUGUAACCCUCUACUGAUUGAUCUCCCCAAAAGCCGUAUUGCCCCGCUACAGUCUAAUGCAGCAGCUAGACUGAUUUUUCUCUAGUCGGUCCUCUCACACAUCACCUCUGUGCCAGUCCUUACAUUGGCUCCCUGUAUCCUAUAGGAGUCAAUUCAAAGUGCUAACCCAUACAUUUAAAGCACUGAACAAUUCUAGCCCCUCUUAUAUCUCCUCAAUGAUCCAUAGGUAUGCCAUUCCUCGUUCCCUCCGCUCUGCCCGUGACCACCUCCUGACUGCUGCUCGCACCCUUACGGCCAACUUGCGCUUGCAGGAACUCUCGCGGUUGGCUCCUUUCCUUUGGAAUAGCCUGCCUUCCGCCAUCAGACUCUCCCCUAGUCUUCAAUCAUUUAAGAAGAGUGUAAUGAUAUUGAUGUUACAAAGUUUUGGAGUCCAGUAGCCAGAUCAGCAAUGUUUUUCUGCCAGAGGUAGCCACUCGUUACCCAGGUGGUUGAGCCCCUGAGCCUUGAGUGGCCUUCUGGUCUUAAGCAGAGAUGGGAGACUGGAACAGAAAGAUGAUAAUCGUAGUCAGGCAAGCCGAGGUCAGUGGGAAGGAGAAGCAGCAAAGUCAAAACAGUCCAAAUUCAGCAACAGGAAGGAGAAACAGGAACACGCUGGAUUAGAGAGUACAGGAACCACAAUAAUCUGGCAAAGGUACAGAGACAGGAAGUGGCUUUUAUAGGCCAAGGACCAGACACCUGACCAGACACAGCUGAAGUGAGUUGUCACUGAUAACCUUGACUCUACAAACAAUAGUAUCAGAUCUCAGGUAAAUUUGCAAAAGGCAGGCUGGUGUACUGGUAAGGAAAAGGUUUAGCACCAUGUAAACCAGGGUUCGAAACCCAGCAGAGUCAGUUCCUCACAAAGAGCCUCAAAACCCAUCUCUUCAGGAAAGCUUAUGGCCUCCCAGAGUAACCUCAACCUCACAUACCUGUCUCUUGCUCUCUCCUAUAGGGCAGUACUCUACCCUCUCCUCCAGCACUGCUUCACUCCCACCUUAUUUGAUAUUUCCUGUCCUAACGUGUCUUAUACCCCACCUCCUAUAGACUGUAAGCUCGUUUGAGCAGGGUCCUCUUCAACCCAUCGUUCCUGUAAAUUUUUUUGUAAUUGUCCUAUUUAUAGUUAAAUCCCCCCUCUCAUAAUAUUGUAAAGCGCUACGGAAUCUGUUGGCGCUAUAUAAAUGGCAAUAAUAAUAAUAACAACAACAACUAGAACGAAGUCAAUCCUCGGAUACGUUCCAUGGGGUGCUGAGUAAAACUUAUAGUCAACUGUGUCUGGGUGUUGUGCUCGCCAGACGUCGACUAGUCCGAUAAAUUUGAUGAAUUCAUGAAGUGUCUUAUCUUGCAGUCCUCUCCAGUUCCUGUCAGCGGCUGAACAUGGUACGGCAUCAUGGCCGUCUUUAGCGCGGGGCAAAAGGGGCAGCUGCCCUGGGCCCAGUUGCUCCUGGGGGGCCCCCAGAACAGCUGCCCAUGCACUAAGGGCCACCCGGUAAGCAUGUGUGAGCAGGGGCCCGAUUGGGCGCUGUGACGCUUAAGCAGUGUGACUGGGCCCCUUCCUGUACCGGCUAGGAGGAAGUGAGUGUCGCGCAUACCUUCCUCCCACCGGAGAUAGUAGCCGCGCGGGAGGAGAAAGGCAGGAGGAGAGGACUUCAAAAUAACUCCCAUCUGCCUCAGCCUGCAACUGGACCCCAGGGAAACCACCCUCCAUAAAAAGGUAAGAACCUGGAGGGUGGCUUGUGUGUAUGUCUGUGUGUGUGUAUGCAGGGCAGUCUAUAAUUUGAAUAGGACCCUGGGCAAAGCAUUUUCUUGGGCCCCCAAGCCCUGCCUCUUCCCACUCUGUGUGUAUGUCAGUAUGCCAGUGUGUGUGUGUGUGUGUGUGUCUGUGUGUAUGUCAGUGUGUGUGUCAGUAUGCCUGUGUGUGUCAAUACGUCUGUCAGUGUAUGUGUCUUUGUGUUUCAGUAUAUAUGUCAGUGUCUGUGUGUGUAUGUAAGUGUGUCAGUAUGUCUGAAUGUGUGUCAAUAUGUCUGCCAGUGUAUGUGUGUGUCAGUAUGUAUCUGCAAAUGUUUUAAUAUAUCUGUCUGUGUGUGUAUGUCAGUAGGUCUGUCAGUGUGAUUGGUGGUUGGGCGUAAUGGGUUGGGUGGGAAGGGGCAGGGCCUAUGGGGCCCAAGAAAAUGUUUUGCCCAGGGUCCUAUUCAUGUUAUAGACGGCCCGCACGGCAUUGAAGUCACCUCCCACAAGUAGUAUACCAUGGGGGUGUAGCAUUACUUACCUUAUCCAGGGGCCGGCCGCGGUCCUCUCUUCGAGCUGCGCGUGGUCCUGCUGCUGCACGACGGCUUCAAUAGGAAGGCGGGCAGUGACCGCGAGAAGCGGUCACGUGUCCCGCCUGAAUCUAAGAGCGCGCCGCUCUUAAAGAGACAGUGGGAGCCUAAAUUGUCAAAUUGGCCCCUGUCAUGCCACACUCCCCAUACACUUACCCUUUGGGGGUGUGGAUAUAACAGAAGCCAAUCACAUUAGUUUAGAAGCUAUUUAAACUUACCUCUCCCUUUACUCCCUGCCCUAUCGUGGUUUCUGUUUCAGUUCCCUUUAGCGCUUGUUGUGUUCAGUUGUGUUUUCUUCGUAUUGACUUUGGCUUUGUUUCUGACUACGUUUUCUCUUUAUCCUUAUCUGUUCUGGUUGCCGGCUUGCUGUUUACUGUGUACCAGACCCCGGCUAGUCCUAGUUUACGCUGUCUCUCUGUGCCCUUGAUUUCGGAUCGUUCCUGACUCUGUCUCCUCUCAUAUACGUCGAGUCCGGCCAUUCUAAGGUCCGGUAGACGUAUCUCUCCUCUGUGUUGUCUUCUGUUUAGCUGAAUCCUGUGUGUUGGGGUAUAUUCUCGUUACAUUACGAUAGGGUCAUGGACCCCGCAGAUUUGGCUCAGCAAAUGGCGUCUCACGAGGCAAGGUUUGUAGAGCAGGAUCACCGUAUGGCUCAGAUAGCACAGACUCUCCAGACGCUCUUGUCUAGAACUAUUCCUGCAACUGCACCUAACCCUCCUACACCUCUUCUUCCCGAAGUAUCGAAUUCACCUAAUACUUCGCCCCAUGUAACACCCCCUCCUAGGUAUGGAGGGGAAGCUAAGACAUGCAGAGGUUUUAUUAAUCAAAUAGAAUUCCACCUUGAGAUGUAUCCACAUUCCUUUCCCACUGAUAGGUCUAAAGUGGGGUUUUUGAUGCAUCAACUUACUGACAAAGCACUUGAGUGGGCAAAUCCUAUUUGGGAGGCCAAUGGACCUAUGGUGCAUAAUUUCAAUAGCUUUCUUACGGCUUUUCGUAGAACUUUUGACACAACAAAAAGGUCAAAGAAUGCCGCAAGAGCAUUAAUGAGAAUUAAAGGAUCAUUAUAGUGCCAGGAAAACAUGUUUGUUUUCCUGGUAUUCAUAGUGCCCUGAGGUGCCUCACCUCAGGACCCCUCCCCACCGCUUCCUGGAAGGGGAAAACUACCUUUUUUCCAGCGCCGGGCGUAAAUUUCGCCUCCCAUCCUCCUCCUGAUUCCCUCACGGCUGAAUGCGCUAAAUAGCUGCGCUACAAGAUUCAGUCGUCGAAAGUAUUCUGUUAAUGUUUUCUUAUGAUGCUAUAGUUUCCGUACUGUGAAAAUUACAGUGAGAAGCACGCAAGCGCCUCUAGCGGCUGUCAAUGAGACAGCCACUAGAGGAUUUGGAGGCUGGCUUAACCCAUUGAUAAACAUAGCAGUUUCUCUGAAACUGCUAUGUUUAUAAAAAAAUGGGUUAACCCUAGAAGGACCUGGCACCCAGACCACUUCAUUAAGCUGAAGUGGUCUGGGUGCCUAGAGUGGUCCUUUAAACAUGGUUUUAGGUCUGUGGCUGAUUAUGCUAUUCAGUUUCGUACCCUUGCUUCACAGGUAGAUUGGACCAAUAAUGGGUUAACUACUGCGUUUAUGGAAGGUUUAUCUGACACUAUAUUAGAUGAGGUAAGGGCAAGGGAGCUUCCUAUUCCAUUAGAGGACCUUAUUGACUACCUCAUUGAUAUAGAUAAUAGGAUUCGUGAAAGGCUCUAUACUAAGAACAGGAAUAGACGUUUGGUCACACCUACUAGCCCCAGAGUUGAUAAACCUGAGAGUGUUAAAGUAUCCGAGGAGGAACCCAUGCAAUUAGGGGUUGCCAAACUCUCGGAUACUGAAAAUUUACUUAGAAGAAGGAACAGACUCUGCCUAUACUGUGGUAGACGAGACCAUAUGGUAAAAGAAUGUCCUUUGCUUCCGGAAAACUCUCGCACCUAAGACCUUAUAGGGGACUGGCCUUGGGAGUGAUAUGUAAGUCUCCUAAAUUGCCUCCUAACCGUUUGCUUCUCCCUGUUUCCCUUCAUACGGGAGAGAGUUGUAUAGUUGAAAGCAUACUAGCCUUGGUUGAUUCCGGGGCUGCUGAGAACUUCAUUGACUCUGGGUUUGUUACAAAAAAUAACAUUCCCGUCAGAGAGUGGGAGAUACCCUUGGCCAUAGAUGGUAGACCUUUAAAUACUCCAGUCGUUACCCAUGAAACUGUACCAUUAUUCAUGUACACAGGGGUUUUACACUUUGAGACCAUUCGGUUUCAGGUUAUCACCUCUCCCUCUUCUCAUAUCGUGUUAGGGUACCCACGGUUAUGUUCUCACAAUCCCAUUUUCGACUGGGAAUUGGGACAAUUAAAAUCAUGGGGCAAAACCUGCCACGACUCUUGUAUGAUUAAAGUCACCCCUUUAAAUACCAUUAAUGUUCCUACUACUCCUCCUUUGUCUACUGUUAUACCUCCUCAGUACUUGUUUCUCAAAACUGUAUUUGAUAAAAGGGAAGCUGAUAAAUUACCGUCUCACAGACCCUAUGAUUGUGCUAUCGAUUUAUUGCCUGGCACUAUACCUCCAAAGGGCAGGGUGUACCCUUUAUCUAUUCAAGAAAACCGUAUCAUGGAGCAGUAUGUUAAAGAAUCGCUAGAAAAGGGGUUCAUUAGGAGAUCCUCUUCUCUGGCUGGAGCAGGGUUUUUCUUCGUAUCUAAGAGAGAGGGUGAUUUAAGACCGUGCAUCGAUUAUAGAGGUCUAAACAAAAUCACUAUCAAAAAUGCAUACCCUAUACCUUUAAUUACAGAAUUAUUUGACAGGCUGAAACAUGCUACUGUGUUCACCAAAUUGGACCUUAGAGGUGCAUACAAUUUAAUACGCAUAAAGGAAGGUCACGAAUGGAAGACUGCAUUCAACACUAGAUCCGGUCAUUACGAGUAUACCGUUAUGCCAUUUGGUCUUUGCAAUGCCCCAGCAGUAUUUCAGGAAUUUAUUAAUGACGUCCUAAGAGACUUUAUUCACACAUUUGUAAUUGUAUACUUGGACGACAUACUGAUAUAUUCUACAGAUUUACACACUCAUCACAGACAUGUCACAACGGUCCUGAAGACCCUUCUUGCUAAUGGUCUUUAUUGUAAACUAUAAAAAAUGUUUAUUUGACCAAUCCGAAGUCCAGUUCUUGGGGUAUUUGAUUUCCACCAAAGGGUUUCGUAUGGAUCCCCAGAAGCUUUCUGCUGUCAUAGAGUGGCCCCUACCACAGGGUUUGAAAGCAAUUCAGCGUUUACUGGGUUUCUCUAACUAUUAUAGACGCUUUAUUAAGGGUUUUUCUUCUAUUGUAGCACCUAUCACCCGUAUGACAAAAAACGGUGGUAAUACUCGUGUCUGGUCUCCCGAGGCACUUCAGGCUUUUGACUUUCUUAAAACUACAUUUGCCUCUGCACCUAUUUUACAGCACCCUAUCCCCUCACUGCCUUAUAUUCUUGAAGUUGAUGCUUCUGAUAUUGGGGUACGUGCUGUUUUGUCCCAAAGAGAAUCGCCUGAAAAGCCAUUGCAUCCUUGUGGCUUCUUUUCUAGACAAAUGUCCAAAGCUGAAAGGAAUUAUGAUGUGGGUAAUCAUGAACUCCUUGCUAUUAUCUUAGCUCUUAAAGAAUGGAGACACUUGUUAGAAGGAACUAAGGAUCCUAUCCUCAUUUUUACGGAUCACAAGAAUCUAUCCUACCUUGGUGAAGCUAAAAGAUUAUCUUCUAGGCAGGCUAGGUGGUCACUAUUUUUGUCCCGUUUCAAUUAUAUUAUCACCUAUAGGCCAGGUGAUCGCAACAUUAAAGCAGACGCUCUGUCCAGACAGUUCGAAACUACUGACAAACAGGAGGUUGAUGUUACUCCUGUCAUUCCCCUAGACAGGAUACUAGCUACUACUAUGUUGUCUAUUUCUUCAUCCCUCUUGCAAACCAUACAGGCGAAACAAAGUAUGGCACCUAGCGAGAGGCCUAUUGAUAAAUUGUUUGUUGAUGUUCCCGAGAGACAGGAGAUUCUGUCAUUAUAUCAUGAUACUAAGACUGCUGGACAUCCUGGUAUUAUCAAAACGAUGUCAGCAGUUUCUCGAUAUUUUUGGUGGGGUUCCGUACGCAAGGAUGUCACUGAUUAUAUAAGUGCCUGUACUACUUGUGCAUGUAUGAAAACGUCUCGUAGAGUUCCUUGUGGGCUUCUGCAUCCCUUACCCGUUCCCGAGAGACCUUGGUCUAACCUGUCCAUGGAUUUUAUUGUUGAAUUACCCCCUUCGAAUGGUAACACAGUCAUCCUGAUGAUAGUAGAUCGGUUUUCCAAGAUGGCUCACUUUGUGUCUCUUAGCAAGUUGCCCACAUCCAAGGAACUGGCUCUUAUCUUCGCUAGAGAAGUAUUUUGGUUACAUGGUAUUCCCGUAUCUAUUGUGUCCGAUAGGGGUAGCCAAUUUAUUUCCAGGUUCUGGAAAGCCUUUUGUUCAGAAAUGGGUAUUUCUCUCUCAUUUUCUUCCGCUUACCAUCCCCAGUCUAAUGGAGCUGCUGAACGUGCCAACCAGUCUCUGGAGCAGUACCUUCGUUGUUUUGUGUCUCACCAUCAGGACAAUUGGUCUGACCUGCUUCCUUGGGCUGAGUUUGCUCGGAAUAACGCCACUCAUGAUUCUUCCGGCAAAAGCCCUUUUUACGUUGUCUAUGGCCAGCAUCCCGUUGUCCUUCCGGCUGCAUUCUCCUCACAGGGCAUGCCAGUUCUGGAUGAGCAUUUGGCUGGUUUGCGUAAUACUUGGGAGCAGGUUCAGCGUUCUUUGGUGGAUUCCGCUGCUCGCCAGAAGGCUCAGGCUGACAAGCAUCGCAGAGCAGCUCCUUCUUAUGUUGUGGGGGACAGGGUUUUGCUUUCCGUGCAGAAUAUUCGCCUGCGGGUGCCUUCUAUGAAAUUGGCUCCCCGCUUCAUAGGUCCUUAUCGUAUUCUGCAUAAGGUUAAUCCUGUUUCAUAUGCCUUGGGUCUUCCUAGGAAUCUGCGUAUUCCUAAUGUCUUUCACACCUCGUUGUUGAAGCCUUACGUACGCAACCGCUAUACCCGGCAUUCUCCACCUCCCCCUCCUGUCUCCGUGGAGGGUCAUGAGGAAUUCGAAGUUUCUGCUGUUCUUGACUCUUGUUACCUUAGGUGUCGACUUCAGUACUUAGUGCAUUGGAAGGGUUAUGGGCCUGAGGAGCACAGUUGGAUUUCAGCUGAUGCUGUUCACGCUCCGCGCCUUGUGCAUUCUUACCAUUCUCGUUUUCCUGCCAGGCCUGGCCCUACCUGCCCGCAGGGCGUGUCCUCAGGGGGGGUACUGUAGCUUACCUUAUCCAGGGGCCGGCCGCGUUCCUCUCUUCGAGCUGCGCGUGGUCCUGCUGCUGCACGAGCCACGCGCGGCUCAUCCGGCGGCUUCAAUAGGAAGGCGGGCAGUGACCGCGAGAAGAGGUCACGUGUCCUGCCUGAAUCGAAGGGCGCGCUCUUAAAGAGACAGUGGGAGCCUAAAUGGUCAAAAGGCUCCCAUUGGCCCCUGUCAUGCCACACUCCGCAUACACUUACCUUUUGGGGGUGUGGAUAUGACAGGAGCCAAGCACAUUAGUUUAGAAGCUAUUUAAACUUAUCUCUCCCUUUACUCCCUGCCCUAUCGUGGUUUCUGUUUCAGUUCCCUUUAGCGCUUGUUGUGUUCAGUUGUGUUUUCUUCGUAUUGACUUUGGCUUUGUUUCUGACUACGUUUUCUCUUUAUCCUUAUCUGUUCUGGUUGCCGGCUUGCUGUUUACUGUGUACCAGACCCGGCUAGUCCUAGUUUACGCUGUCUCUCUGUGCCCUUGACUUCGGAUCGUUCCUGACUCUGUCUCCUCUCAUAUACGUUGAGUCCGGCCAUUCUAAGGUCCGGUAGAUGUAUCUCUCCUCUGUGUUGUCUUCUGUUUAGCUGAAUCCUGUGUGUUGGGGUAUAUUCUCAUUACAGGGGGAGAGCAUUUAUUUUAUUUUUUAAUUUCUCCAAAAAAUCUGUCAGGGCUGUUUGGGGCAUAUAUGUUGAGCAUGUGUAUGGAUCCCGAUUAGGAUUAUGAAACUUCCCUCUGGGUCUGUGUCUAUAGUGGAAAUGUUGACGGGGCAUGUAUUGCGUAUGAGUAUGGCCACCUCAUUCCUUUUUCGCAGUGAUUUAGCUUUGUGUGAUGUGGGGUAGGUGCGGUCACUUACAUUAAAUGGCGUGUGUCUCGAUAUGUGAUAUCUGCUCCCAUCCUUUAAACAUUACCCAUCUUUUUUGGGGAGCGUUCAAGCUUUUAACGUUAAUAGAGAUUAUUUUUAGAGCCAUGGUCCGGUAUGGGGUGUUUGCAUUUUCAGUUUCGCCCUGUGGUCCCUUAGUUGGGAUUAUCAAAUGCAUACUAAGGAAGUGAGACUAGCAAACGUGGUAUCAGAGGUUGCACUUUGCACAGUAUAUAUCCAAGUAAACCUGGUACAUGUAUCAACACAUACAAAAACAUAUUUAUAACCAUGAGAUGUUGGCAAACUUCCAAUAUAUAGUAAUCCAAAAAGUACUUUAGAUAUUAAUAUUUAGACAGUACAUCAGUAAUGUGGCAAUAAGCAAAUGCUUACGAUUACUAAACACAUGAAUUACAGUAUUUCCCAUAUUGGGCCACCAAUAUUCCUUUUCAGAAGUCAGACGUACAUUACCUCCUCUCUAUAAGAGCUUGUCCUAGCCAUGAAUAAGCUUUUAGGGCAAGUCUAUCUUUCCUCUAUAGGAAAAACAACCAACACAUUACCGUCAAUGGUUAUUAUGUAAUUAACCCCUCUAAACGAUAGGAGUAUUUAUGCGGAUAACCAGGUGGGUUGGGUCUGGUUAUCCUUGCAAGCAUAAACUUUGCAUCAUGACUGAGAUAUAGGGUAUGCUUAUGUGAUCUAUUGACCACAGAAAAGAGUUGGAAGACACAUUGCAUCAAAGUGCCUGUUAAUGACCAACUACAUGAGGAGAGGGACAAAGCUUUGUUAUAACCAUGUCCAUACACAUAUUACAAUGCCAGGCUUUCAAUUUGUUUCCACAAAGCAAUAUGCAGUUGUGGAUAUAAACUCACAACGUAUUAUAAGAAAAACUGAACACCAGACAGAUUCGAGAGAUCAGUGGACCAAAAUAGACAGACAAAAUCUAUUUUACAAUUCAUAUACUCUCUUUAAAUUACUUUAUUCUCAGUGUUAACUAUGAAAUAUUAAAGGACAACUAUAGGCACCCAGACCAUUUCAGCUUAAUGAGGUGGUCUGGGUGCCUGGUUUAUAGGCAGAAAACUGCUAUGUUUAUAAAUGGGUUAAUCCAGCCUCUAGUGGCUGUCUCAUUGACAGCCGCUAGAGGGCUUCCGCGCUUCUCAUUAUGAUUUUCACAGUGAGAAGACGCCAGCGUCCAUAGGAAAGCAUUGUGAAUGCUUUCCUCUGGACUGGCUGAAUGCGCACGCGGCUCCUGCAGCGCAUGUGCAUUCAGCCGAAGAGGACGAGAGGAGGCGAGCUCCCCACCCGGUGCUGGAGAAAGAGGUAAGUUUAACCCCUUCCUCGCCCCAGAGCCCGGGGCCCCAAUUUGUAUUUAGGGACCCCAUCCACUGCUCAGGGGUGGGAGCCAGGGGGACAUUAGGUCCCCCCCCCCAAUUUUUCAUUAGGGCGCCCACCCGCCACUCAGGGGUGGGGGUCGGUGGGGAGGACAGUAGGUCCUCCCCCCUUUUUUUACUUUCAGGCCCCCCACCUGCCGCUCAGGGGUGGGGGCAAUUCCCUUACUGCUAGCACUACAGGUACAGUGGGAUAGUACCACUGAUUUAAGUAAGCUUUCCCUUGUUAAAAUUGGUGGACUUUAACCCCUUAAGGACAGAGCUUCAGAAGCUUGUCUUUCACUUAAUGACAACAGCAUUUUUCAUUUUUUGCUGUUUGCAUUCAAUUGCAAUUUGCAUUUUACUAAUUUAUUCCACCGACACAUAUAUAUCUUUUUUAAAGGACAGAAAGGGAUUUAAUUUGAUGUAAUACACAUAUAGUGGAAAAUUGUUUCAUACUUACCGUCAUUUUCAUUUCCUGACCAUUAUUAAUGGCAGCAUUUACUCAUGGGUUAGCUCCUCCCCUCACAACAGAAAGGACAGGAAAUAGAACUUUGAAACUGGUAUAAAUAGAUCCUCCCCCAUCCCAUCAGGCAGUCUUAGUAACUAGCUUCACAACUCCUAUAGUAUAUGGGUGGGAACGUAAUGCUGCCAUGAAUAAUUAUCAGGAAAAGAAAAUUACAGUAAGUAUGAAGCAUAUUUUCCUUUUUCCUGACCAUUAUUCAUGGCAGCAUUUACUCAUGGGGAAUACCCAAUCAGUAUAUAUAGAGGGAGGGACCGAGUUCAAAAACAGAUAAUAGUUAUGUAAGGAAACCAAGUACAUUUAAACCUUAAUCCGUAGUUUCCUCCCGAACAGCCAGAGCCCAGUGAAUAUAGCCCUCCGUCCGGUAGUUAUGGUAGACGAAUUCCCAAUUGUAAAUCCAAUAGUGUUCCUGGAUAAUUCCCACAGUAAAACACACGAACUCCCAAACAGCAAAGGUAGUCAGAAUAAGGGUACAAAGAUGAACUGAAGGUUUAAUGACAGGCAUGCUCUUUUUAUGGAAUUCAGCCCAUGCAAGGGAGCCUCCCAUAUAAUUAGCCAUACAUCCAAUCCUAACAAUAUACAUACUGUACAUCUUCUCCCCUCAGAUAACCAUUAAACACAAUUAAAACGUAACAGAAAUUCCACAAAGUUUGGAUGUACCCUAAGGACUUGGGGUACAGACAUAAUUUGGUGUCCUCAGAUAGCUAUUGUCUGGGAGACCAACAUAAUAAAAACUCAGUCCAUUCGGUUCAGCCGUUCAGAAGAUAUGGGACUUAGAAGUUUUGACCGACUGCACGGGCAAAGUAGCCGAAAACUGUUCCAUGAAUUCUGGCCCUGCAGUCGGUCUUAGAUCACAUGAAAAACCUCCCGAACGGCCGGCCAUCCAGCUACCAUCCUUGGUUCGCUUGAUUCCCCAUCCGUUGGUAAGUGUUUCUACCGAAUGCCCUGUCGUUCAGUAGUUUGGAAGGGGGUUUACCGAAGGUCUGGAGGCUUCAGCGGUGUUCGCCUGUUUGAGUGUCCGUUUUCAGUUCCAGACAUUCAAUGGCAAACACCGCUGUUCGGGAGCUAAAAUGGCCGCGAACACGUGGAAGUCCCGAAAUGGCGGCGAGACCUGCCGUUCGUGCAGAACUUCUGUCGAACGUAAUCCAGCCAGCAAGGGAGUACAGUCUGUAUAAUGGGUAACAGGGUGGUUUGCAUUCGGUAGUUUUACCUACCGAAUGCCAUAGGGAAACAUUGCUAUUAAACAAACACAUACAAGGCGUCAAUUUACAGUAUAAGAGGGGCAUUUCUUCACACUGCUCCCCUAUAAGUCCAUAGGUCGGCAUACCCGCCAAGACCCUGCCGGGUUGGCUUGGGGAUGUCCGAGGGAAAACACAGAGACAGUCCAGGUUAAGCACCCAAUUCCGUUUGGCGGGACAAACCGUCUGCAUUACCAUUUUGUUUGCCCGGACGAUAUUGCAUGGUGAAGUUGUACGGUUGAAGGGCUAGGCUCCACCGUAAAAGUCUAGGGUUGUCGCCAGCCACCCGGUUUAACCACACCAACGGGUUGUGGUCGGUCAUCAGAGUAAACGGCCGGCCGUACAAAUAAGGUUGGAGUUUCUUAAGGGCCCACACCAGGGCUAGGCACUCCUUCUCCACGGUGGCAUAGCUGACCUCCCGGGGCAACAGUUUACGACUUAGGCCUCCGGGUGUUCCAUGCCGUCGUCUCCCACCUGGCUUAACACUGCUCCCAGCCCAAACAUGGAGGCAUCUGUGUGGACAAGAAAUUGUUUAGAGUAGUCUGGUGCUGCCAACACAGGAGCCUCACUCAAUGCUGCUUUCAGUUUCUGGAAGGCUGCAGCGCACUCUGGGGUCCAGGUAACCUGUUUGGAAAGGGCCUUUUUGGUGAGAUCAGUGAGGGGUUUGGCCAGGGCGCUAUAGUCGGGGACAAAUUUCAGGUAAUAACCGGCUGUUCCUAAGAAGGCUAAGACCUGGGUCUUAGUCCGAGGUUGGGGCCAAUUAGCUAUGGCCUCUAUCUUGUCUGGCUCAGGCCGCUGUUUACCUGACCCUACCCUGUGGCCUAGGUACUGUACCUCCACCAUACCCACGUGACAUUUGUCCGGUUUCAACUUAAGCCCUUGUUGGUGAAUUCUCUCGAGCACCCUGGACACGUGGCCUAGGUGAUCUCCCCAUGUGCGGCUGUAGACCGCAAUAUCGUCUAAAUACGCACAUGCGAAGUCCUGGAGUCCCUCCAGGAGCCUGUCAGCCAUCCGCUGAAACGUAGCCGGGGCAUUCUUCAUCCCAAAGGGCAUAACCUUGAAUUGGUAAAGCCCAAAAGGAGUGACGAAUGCCGACUUGGGGAUGGCGGCAGACUCCAGGGGGAUCUGCCAGUACCCUUUGCACAAAUCCAGAGUGGUCAAGUAAUUACCUCCGGCCAUACGGUCCAGUAACUCAUCUAUUCUGGGCAUGGGGUAGGCAUCUGUUAUGGUGUGGUUGUUGAGCCUUCGGUAGUCUACACCGAAGCGUGUGGUGCCGUCACGCUUCGGUACUAGUACUACCGGAGAGGCCCAAGGGCUUUGAGAGGGUUCUAUUACCCCUAACUUGAGCAUGUCAGCAAUUUCUGCCAGCAUGCUCUCACGCCCGGCCUCGGGAAUGCGGUAUGGCUGCUGUCGUAGGGACGUCUCUCCCUGGGUAUCUACCCAUUGUACCGCAGCGGAGGUAUAUCCUGGGAUGGCAGAAAACAUGCCCUGGUAUUCCCGGAGUAAACCGGCCGCUUCCUGUCGCUCUAUAGGUUGUAGGUUCUGACCAAGGCUGACCUGGUCAAUACUGCAGGGAGAGGGGUCUAACAGAUCGGGGAGUGGAAGUCCCUCGCUAUCCUCGGAAGAGGGGGCGCAUACGGCGCCGACAUCUUACGUCCGUUCGUAGUAAGGCUUCAGCAUGUUUACAUGGAAGACUUUGGUCAGUCUCUCAUCCGAACAUUUGCUUACAAUGUAGGUGGUAUCGCUCAUUCGCUCCACCACCUUAAAGGGUCCCUGCCAGGCCGCCUGGAGCUUAUCCUUCUUGGCGGGUCUCAAAGCUAACACUUUUUGGCCUAAGUCUAAGACUCUGACUCGGGCACCCCUGUCGUAGCACCUCUUUUGGCAGUACUGGGCCGCCUGCAGGUUCUCCCGAACUGAUUCCGUGAGAGUUCGCAGCCGGUCGCGGAAUUCCAAUACGUACUGGACUAUAGGGAUCCCCCCAUCAUCUGUGUUGCCCUCCCAGUGCUCCCAUACGAGAUCCAGGGGCUCCGAACUUUUCUCCCGAACAGGAGUUCGAAAGGGGAAAUCCCCGUGGAUGCCUGGGGCACCUCACGAUAGGCAAACAGAAGAUGGAAAAGAUACUUCUCCCAGUUCCUGCAGGACUCUGCAAACGUUUUUAGCAUUUGCUUGAGCGUGCCAUUAAAAUGUUCACAGAGACCGUUGGUCUGAGGGUGAUAUGGGGCGCUAAAGAGGGCUUUCACUCCACAGCUCUGCCACAGCUGUUGUGUCAGGAGAGCUGUGAACGGAGUCCCUCUGUCGGAUAGGAUCUCCUGGGGGAAACCUACCCGGGAGAAUAUUUUGACCAGGGCCUCGGCUACCGUUUCGGCCUCUAUAUUGGGGAGGGCCACGGCUUCGGGGUACCGAGUGGCAUAGUUCACUACGGUGAGUAUGAACCUUUUUCCAGACUGACUGGGCCGACUGAGGGGUCCUAUUAAAUCUACCGCUACCCGGUGAAAUGGCUCUUCUAUGAUGGGUAACGGGUGGAGCUUUGCUUUUUGGUGGUCACCCCGUUUCCCUAUUUUCUGGCAAACGUCACAGGUCCUGCAAUAGUAUUUGAGGUCUUGAGUGACCCUGGGCCAGAAGAAAGUUUGGGUCAGGCGGUCCCUAGUCUUCUUAACCCCUAAAUGUCCGGCUAGGGGAAUAUCAUGGCUGAGUCUUAGUAACUCAGCCCGAAACUUGCGGGGCACUACUAGUUGUCUUUUAGUAACCUGGGCGGUUCCGUGUCCGGCCCCAUCCGUCACCCUAUACAACAGUCCCUUAUGCCAUUCAAACUUUUCGUGGGGGUUGUCGCCCCUAUUGUCCCCUACUGUUUUUCUAUACCCGGCUAGUGUGGGGUCCAUCCUUUUGUUCCUGCUCAAACCCCUGGGGAGUAUCCCAGAACAAGGGAGGUGGGUCGGGUAAAGGGGGGAUUUCAACUCCUACCUGGGUUUCCUCAGAGUGCAGCGGUGCUUCCAGUCUGGCUUGAGCUCGGGUGGUAACCGGAUAAGCUUCGGCUGUGGUGUCUCGGGCUAGCUGGGAAGUUAAACAGCCCACAUCAUUCCCCAACAGUACUUCGGCUGGUAACUCCUGCAUAAUGCCAACCUCUAGUUGUUUAGAUCCCGCCGUGGGUAAUUUGUGGAUAGCACCCCUGGCUACCUUUACUGCCACAGUGCGGCCCGUGUGAGUUUGAGCCUUGACAGUGUGCGGUUGAACCACAGUUAACGUGGCCCCAGAGUCUCUUAAGGCGCGGGCCCCCACCCCGUCUACCGUAAUCCAUUGACGGUGGUGGUCCCAGUUGUCACCCCCGGCUUGCACAGGGUUGACUUCGUGCAACACACUCCAUUGUUCCUCGUGGGGAGGUACCCAUGAUGUACUCUCCUGCUGUACACAAUGAGCAGCGGCCCUGGGUUGUGACUGUGGAGGUUGCCUUUCCCAGCUUCCCCUAUUUAAACGUGGGCACUGAUUUUUAAAGUGUCCUGGUUGUUUACAGUAGUGACACACUGCAGGUUGUCGGGGUGCUGCUGCUGGGUUGUGGGGUGAAUUACUCAGGGGGGCUCUAGGUGGUGCAGCCGUGGUUGGGGCUGAAUAAGGCUGUUUAAACGCAGGUCGGCUCACCCCUUGUUCUCGCCUUCGGUUAUCCUGGUAUUCAUCUGCCAGUCUUGCUGCCUCCUCCACAGUUUUAGGCUUCCUGUCUUUAACCCAGUCCUUGAUAUCUUCUGCGGUAUGGUUAAAAAAUUGUUCUAAUAGGAGGAGUUGUAAAGCAUCCUCCAGAGUGGUUGCUUGGCAGCCCUUCAUCCAAUUUCGGGCUGCCCUGUGUAGCCGGAAUACCCAUUCAGUAUGGGUAUCCCUUCCUGUUUUCCUCAGUUCCCUGAAUUUCUUCCUGUAUGCCUCAGGGGUAACUGCAUAUCUAGCCAUCAAAAUGUCUUUUAUCUUCUCAUAAUUAUGAAUAUCCAUAUCAGGUACUGCUCGUGCUGCUUCUGAUGCUCUGCCUGACAACUUGCUGCUCAGUACUGCAGCCCAUUUGGUGGAGUCUAAUCGCUCCAGUGCACAUUGCCUUUCAAAGUCCUGCAGAUAACUAUCAAUCUCCAUCUCAUUGUCAUUAAAGCUUUUAAAUGCAGCAUAAUUUACCUUUUUCGGCAUGUCAUUUGUACUUCCUGGGGAGUGCAGCAAAUCCCCCUGUAGCAGUCUGUCCCAGUCAUCUCGCUCCUUCUGUGAUUGCCUGGCUUGUGCCAUGACCUGCAGCAUCGCCUCUGUUGCUGGGUUAGGUCCCAAUAAACUGAGCAUCCACCUGAUGUCUUUCUGCAUCUCAGAUUCUUCCUCACGCUCCAUUUCUGUUGUACUGGUUCUGUCGCCCUGUAACAGGUUUGCAAUUAACGUGGCUUUUGUUUUGUUGCUUGCUAUUACGCCUCGAGCUUCCAGUAAAUCCUUGAGCGUGGUUCUUUUAAGCUGUUGGUACUGCUGCGCCAUUCAUUCCUUUGCUUGCUUUAAAACGUCCGUUCGGGAUUCGAAUCCCGCCGCUUGCCACCAGUUGUAAGGAAACCAAGUACAUUUAAACCUUAAUCGGUAGUUUCCUCCCGAACAGCCAGAGCCCAGUGAAUAUAGCCCUCCGUUCGGUAGUUAUGGUAGACGAAUUCCCAAUUGUAAAUCCAAUAGUGUUCAUGGAUAAUUCCCACAGUAAAACACACGAACUCCCAAACAGCAUACGUAGUCAGAAUAAGGGUACAAAGAUGAACUGAAGGUUUAAUGACAGGCAUGCUCUUUUUAUGGAAUUCAGCCCAUGCAAGGGAGCCUCCCAUAUAAUUAGCCAUACAUCCAAUCCUAACAAUAUACAUACUGUACAUCUUCUUCCCUCAGAUAACCAUUAAACGCAAUUAAAACGUAACAGAAAUUCCCCAAAGUUUGGAUGUACCCUAAGGUGUCCCCAGAUAGCUAUUGUCUGGGAGACCAACAUAUUAAAAACUCAGUCCAUUCGGUUCAGCCGUUCGGGAGAUAUGGGACUUAGAAGUUUUGACCGACUGCACGGGCAAAGUAGCCGAAAACUGUUCCAUGAAUUCUGGCCCUGCAGUCGGUCUUAGAUCGCAUGAAAAACCUCCCGAACGGCCGGCCAUCCAGCUACCAUCCUUGGUUCAAAUACAAAUACAAGGAGUCAAUUUACAGUAUAAGAGGGGCAUUUCUUCACAAGUUAUAAAACCAUUAUGAAGACUUUAAAAAAAAAGCCAAACAAGAAUCAAUAGGAUAUUGUCAUUAAAUCUGCUCAGACAAGAUAAUUUUCCCUAGAGGCUGCAAGGUCAGCAACCUCCUGUCAUUCAAAUGUCUGAAAUAUCCUGAAUAAAUAUAGAGAGUCAGAUAGGAAUAAAGGCCAUGAUAGCAUAAGUUAGAGAGAGAAAAUGUCAUUCUGAUAUUAAACCGAAUUAAUAUCAUCAAAUCAGAACCUUGACAAAGACAUAACUUCCAGAGAUCAUACUGGAACAAAACCGCAUACUUACUCUUACCUUAUCUUCAGAUAGUGAAGAAGUACUAUGGCAGAGCCUAUGGCGAUAAUAAGCAGUUUGUUAUAUCUGCAGGAUAUCAACACCAAUCCAAACAUAUAAUCCACAAGUAUUAAAUCAAUGCAAUGUUAGGAGUGACCAUAACUUAUACAGAUCUAGGUACAGAGACCCUGCAAAACAUAUCAGUCAAAUGUUUGUCAUCAACAAGCUGCAUUACAUUACAUUAUGCAGGAUGAAUCAACCACUUAAAGCCACACGGUUGCAAAUUCCAGAUAUGAGGACCCCUAGAAGAAUCCCCAUGAAUAUCAGAAGAGAGGUCCGUAAUGGAACUACCUGUUUAGGGAUUUCCUCUAUUGUUCAGGCAGCAGGUGAAUUUUACCUGAAAUAGUAAAUGUGAAGAAUCCCCCUCCAUUCAUUCGGUACUUUCCCUCCCUGCUACUUUAUCCAUGGAUUUAUUACUGUGACAAAGUGCCCUUCGCCACUUGUGCCUGGAGAGGACUUCUUGCCAACCUCUUGCCCUGUGAUUAUGGAGAUUUGGCCCGUUCAAUUCAGUAUGAUAGGAGUUAUGUAUUUUUGUAUCCUUUUGUGUUUUACUGGGAACAUGUGCUCAAUGGAGUCUGCCUCUAUCCCUGGAUAAUUGGAUUAUGUUCCCCAUUGUCUCCAGCAUAGAGGGCUCUGUAAUACCGGUUUGGGCCAGAUAGCCAUGCUGCCAGCCAGGCCCCAAAAGAUACUUUACUAACUUCUGAACCCCUGGUCUGAUUCAUGCCAUUUUUAUGUGAAUGUGAUGUAUAUUUUAGAAGUUAUGAAUAUGCUGUAAAAACUGUAUCUUUCCUACCUGUGAUAAUUGCAUCUUCUAUUGUAUAAGAUAAUUGAAUCAAAGGCAGAGGGAAGGAUUUUGUGUGGGCUGUAACCUCUGUUUUAUUGGCUACUGUGUGUGUCCCUCCCCUGCGGAGCAGGGCAUAAAAGAAACUGUAGCUUGAAUACCUGUUGUUGUUACUUUCAGUAAAGUCUUGUUCCAGCAUUAAGCCUUGGCUCAUGUUUGGGGGAUUGGAAAACUACACUCUGGGGAUUGCUAUAUUUACUAUACUCCCCAGGGUAUAUUCACUAAGCUCUGCUAAGAGCUUGUUCCUGCUCUCUGGGGAACCCACUGGAAGCUGGAUCCUGGCCUUGGGUCCAGGGUGGGUGGAGACAGUGAGACCCCGGCGCAGCUGCAUUGCUGGGAGUGGGGUCUGCAGUGCUGAUGGUGUCGGUUGGAGUGCUUGGAGUCCUCAGCAACCACUAGGAGCAUCGAUUGGCGGAGGUACUCAGUUGGAGUGCCAGCGGUCCGUCACAGUAAAGCUGGUUGUGACAAGACCAAUAUCGCCACAUUGCAUUGGAGAAGCCUGGUUGCCUGCCUGCUGCCUUUAGACUACGGCCCCAUGUUGAAGCACUUGAUUUUCCCAUGCGAAGACAUGAAAGCCGGAUCAUGCGGUGCUUGCCCUGUUUGAGCGGUGAUAGCCCAGAUAGCUAUGCCGUGGAGCCCAUUCGUAUAAUGAAAGACUAUGGGAAAGACUUUGGCUCCAUGGCAAUUGAACUGUAUGUGUGUGCUCUGAGCGCCAUUCAGUAAUAAUGUGCGCUCAGAUCUGAGCUAUCUGGGAUAUGUUGAAUGUAUCUGUUUUGUGCAAUGGCUGCACAGUUAUGUUUUUAUGUGUUUUAUUGUCUUUUGCUGCCAUGUGUUCAAUGGAGUUUUGCCUCUGUCCUUGGAGAUAACUGGAUUACUUCCCAAUUAUCUCUAGGAUAGACGACUCUGUGGAACUGGUUUUGGGCAGAAAAGCCAUGCUUCCUUUGGUCACAAAGGACUAUGAUCUAUCUUUUGAACCACCGGACCAAUUUGGAUGAUUUUGACAUAUGUUUGUAUUUGGAGUAUGCUGAUUCUGAAAAUGUAAGUUUCAUGUGAAUGUGAUGCAUACUUUUCAAGUUAUGUAUAGUGUGGAAAAAUUGUAUUUCUCUGCUUGUGAGAAUUACAUUACCCUGUAACGGACCGUUUUGCACAAAAGGGGUAAAAACCGUUUAGGCGAUCUGCCCCCUUUCUAGAGAUGCAGGCACAGCUACUGCAGAACACCAAACACACGAACCGCCAAUAAGUGAAUGCUCCAAACUCCCGAACGGCAUCCAAUAUUGCACUCCAAAUACACGAACAGGAACCAUACGAAUUGCUGCUACCAGACUAAUAGGAAAAGCAUCCAAGUGGCUUACACUCCUAGCAAUCAGUCUCUAUCAGCAUUCAGUAAAUCCCCCCCCCCCCCAAAGACGAGACACGGAGCUCUGUCUCGUUCUUGGGGUGGGAAUUUACUGUAUGCUGUUAGAGACUGAUUGCUAGGAGUGUAAGCCACUUGGAUGCUUUUCCUAUUCGUCUGCGAACAGCUAUUCAUGAGGUUCCAGUUCGGGAGUUUGGAGUGCUAUUUUGUAUGCAAUUCGGGAGUUUAGAGCUGUAACGGCUACCCUGCUGUGGGGGGUAUCUGCCAUUGGCGACGUCCUUUUCUAGGCAAGCUGCUGUGCAGUAAUGGAGUUCUUAUUCCCAUCCACGAUAUCCAAGUAAAUAAUCCAGGAGUGCUGUAAAAUGAGGCAGAGUAACGGUACCGUAAAUCCCCUCCAAGAACGAGACAAGGCUACGUUUUGAAGGGUCAAGUAGAACUGAUGUUUAUUGACAGGGGGUCUCCUUUUAUGCAAUAUUGCCCUCUGAAAGGCUACACCCACAUAAUUAUCACAACAGCCAAUUACAUACGUGGUUCAACCCCCACGUCUCUUCCACUCAGAUAACAUAACACCUAAUUAAAACAGACACAAUUUUAACUACAUUCUGGAUGUACCCCAAAAACAGGGGGUACACCUUUAAGAUAAUACUCCCGAAAUACCAAUACCUACUGUGCACCUUACCCAUAGCACUACCAAAAACAUACCUAAACAACAUACAAAGAGUAUUAACCCGCUUUAUAUGGGCAAACAAAAAACCAAGAGUGACUUCAAAAAUUUUGCAACAGCCAGUAACGAAAGGGGGACUGGGAUCCCAAGCAUAAGAACAUACUACAAAGUAGCACAACUGACAGCAGUCAAAGCGGCCACAGCAGAGGGGGAAACACUACAAUGGACUCAUAGUCAUACUGGAUAGGCAGACGGAGGCUGAGAGACCUCUUUUGGUUCCCCAGGUCACUGCGCCCACAAACCAUACACCGCCUACCAACCACGACACUAACACUGAAACGCUGGGACAAAAUGCGGGAGUGAGGAGGGAACCCAGGGAAAAUACCUGGUGGACACUCCCCUAGGUGACCAAAUGGGAGACUGUGACAAAGGACAGACAUGAGGGGUAAAACAUCCCCACAAUGCAUCCUAACUUCCCUCCCUCUGUCCUGAAGAUAAUUGAGAAGUAAUCCAAUCAUCUCCAAGGAUAGAGGUAAAACUACAUUACCCACAUGGUUACAAUAAAACACUAAAACACAAUAAAAUACACAUUAUUACAUUUAUCACACAAAAUAUAUACUUGCAACCCAUCCCCAGAUAGCUGGGAUCUGAGCACACACAAGUACCGAAUAGUGCUCAGAUCCUAUGCGCACAGUCCUAUGAACACCACUGGCUGUUCGGGACUUUAAAAUGGCCGCCGCCACGUGUUCGGCAACCGAACAAAGGCCACCCAGCAUUUGUCAAUUAAGCUGCGGUUAACCGCAGCUUCUGGGAGGUAAAUUGCCGACACACUGCAGCUCCCAGGUGGCCCAGUCAUUCGUGUGUUAGUUUGGUAGAUUGAAUCUACCGAACACCGGACAGAAAGGCACGAAUAAGCCUUUUCUGCAGGGAAAAAAAGAAGGCUUUUAAUAUGGGGCCAUAAUCUAAAGGCAACAGGUGAGCAACCAGGCUUCUCCAAUGCAAUGUGGCGAGAUUGGUUUCAUCACAGUGGACAUGCUUAAAACUCAGACCCUAUUGGAAGGUGGUGGAAACAAUAGCUAGAGACCUACUAGGCAGGCCUUGGACGCCGAGUAUUGAACAAUGUAUAUUAUUCAUGCUACCACCCGUAACUAGAGUUGAGCGGACACCUGGAUGUUCGGGUUUGGCGGGUUCAGACGAACUUUGAAAAAAAGUCUGGGUUUGCGCUCGAACUUGACCCUGAAUUUGACCACGAACCCAAACCCCAUUGAAGUCAAUGGGGACCUGAACUUUUCGGCACAAAAAUGCCUCUAAAAAACUCCUGGAAAGGGCUAGAGAGCUGCAAAAGGAAGUAGAAUGGGGGUAAGAGUAGGACAAGUGCCCUGCAAACAAAUGUGGAUAGGGAAAUCACUUAAAAUAACAUAAAAAUUAAAAAUACAGCUGAACCAUAAAAUAGCACUAGAUGGAAUCUUUGAUUUUACCUUUGGAAGAACAUAAAUCAAAAUCUAAAGCAUGGCUGUCAGGAGGAUCAUCAGAAUUAUCCAUUUUAGAGAGGGUUGGAGUGCAGGGUAUUCUCUUUCAUUGCUCAAACUGAGCUCAACUCCUGAUGCAUGGAGAAAAGGUCUUUACAAGCCUCUGCUAAUGUGUACAUAGUUUAUACUAAGUGACCCAUAGGUUGAGGAGGCGGUGACCGUGGCGGUGCAGGUGGAAGCAGCAGUGGAGGCGUAGGAGGUAGCCAACACUGUUUUAUUUAUAUAUAUAUAUAUAUAUAUAUAUAUUGUGAUAAGGUAAAUUUGGUGGUCUGUGAGGGAGUUUAUAUUUCAACUGAAUUGUUCAGAGAGGCAUAUGAUUUUUAACCCCAGGGGGAGUGUAUGUGUCUGUGUGUAUAUAACUUAAAUUAAUAUUUCGAUAUGAGCCGCUGGGGUGGAGCAUUUGGAGAGAAGGGUGGGCCAGUGCUCCACUCUGCUGUUUAUUGUUUUGUUCUUGGGAGACUAGGUCCAGACCAGGGUUUGGACUAUCUCCAACCCACUGCUCAGCUGCAGCAGUGGGAAUAUACACCUCCCUGUUUCUUUCUCUCUGGAAGCAGCAGGCUGGCUAAACACUGGAGUGCAGAGAGCUGACAAAGACACUAGGUUGGUGACACUGUGCUUGAUAAUGCCCCCUGCCGUGCUAAACACACGUUCAGACAAUACACUGGCUGCAGGGCAGGCCAGCACCUCCAAGGCAUAAAGGGCAAGCUCAGGCCAUGUGCCCAAUGUGGAGACCCAGAAUUUGGAAGGGGCAGACCCAUCAGUCAGUACGUGUAGGAAUGUGCACACAUACGGUUUCACCAUGUUGCGGAAAUGCUGUCUCCUGCUAAGACGUUCCAUAUCAGAAGGUGGUGCUGGUUGUUGUGGCGUGCUGACAAAGCUUUUCCACAUUUCGGCCAUGCUAACCCUGCCUUCUGCGGUGCUGGCGGUGCCCCAUCUGCGUUGGCGACCUCCUCCUCUGCCUCCGCCUUGUGCUUCCACUGAGCCCCCGGUGUCAGUUGGGAAUGCCCUCAGCAGCGCGUCUACCAGCGUGCGCUGGUAGUUGCGCAUCUUCCGAUCAUGCUCCAGUGAGGGAAUUAAGGACGGCACGUUGGCCUUGUAACGGGAAUCCAGACGGGUGACCACCCAGUAAUCAGCACAAGUUAUAAUGUGGGCAACUUGGCAGUUGUUGCGCAGGCAGUGCAGCAUGUAGUCGCUCAUGUGUGCCAGGCUGCCCAGAGGCAAGGACAAGCUGUCCUCUGAGGGAGGUGUAUCGUCUGUGUCCUCCGUAUCUCGCCAGCCAUGCUCCAGUGAUGCCCACGAGCUGCGUUGGGUGCCACCCUGCUGUGAACACGGUUCCUCCUCCUCAUCCUCCAGAACUGUGCCCUGUCUGGACAAUUGUGUACCUGGCCUAUGCUGGUGCAGGAACCCAUCCUCCAAGCCACUUGUGAAUGACUGGCCUGAUAACCAUAGAACUGACCCCUCUUCCUCCUCCUCUUCCUCUUCCUCCUGUGCCACAUCCUCUUCCAUCAUCGCCCGAAGUGCUUUUUCAAGGAGACAUAGAAGCGGGAUAGUAUGGCUAAGAACGGCAUCUCAAUAAAAUGUUUUUUUUUUUUUUUUUUAUGGAAUCCGUUUGAAUUUCGUUUAAUUUAAAAUUAAGCAUAUUAAAUUUGAACGAAAGGAAUUAAACCAUGAGUGAAAUUCAAUUUGUCCUGAUAGUGUUUUUUUUUUCUUUCUGUUGAUCUAAUUUGUAGAAACUAAAUUUAUGUCCAGGUAACCAAUUCACUUGCAUUGACCAUUUAUAUAUUGUUUCUAACAGUGUAAAUCAUGUAUUAUUUAGGAACAAUUUCAGUUAAGGAAGUGGUUGUUUACUUCUCCAAAGACAAGUGGGACUGUUUACAUCAAGAAGAGCAGAAGCUUUACAGGGUUCUAACAAGACUUACUAGACUCUCCGUUCUUUAGGUAAGAAAUUAUUGCAUGAAUAAGCUGUAAAUUCCGCCUAUAUUCGUUUAGGACUGAUACAUGGCACCAUUUGUUUACUGCUAGGUAAAAUGGAAUUUCUAUUGCCGG